CCCUACGGGGUGCAGCAGGCGAGAAAACUUUGCAAUGUGCGAAAGCACGACAAGGUUAAUCCGAGUGGUUUCUGCUAAAGGAACCUUUUGUCAGUCCUAGAAACACUGACGAAUAAGGGGUGGGCAAGUUCUGGUGUCAGCCGCCGCGGUAAAACCAGCACCUCAAGUGGUCAGGAUGAUUAUUGGGCCUAAAGCAUCCGUAGCCGGCUCUGUAAGUUUUCGGUUAAAUCUGUACGCUCAACGUACAGGCUGCCGGGAAUACUGCAGAGCUAGGGAGUGGGAGAGGUAGACGGUACUCGGUAGGAAGGGGUAAAAUCCUUUGAUCUAUUGAUGACCACCUGUGGCGAAGGCGGUCUACCAGAACACGUCCGACGGUGAGGGAUGAAAGCUGGGGGAGCAAACCGGAUUAGAUACCCGGGUAGUCCCAGCUGUAAACUAUGCAAACUCAGUGAUGCAUUGGCUUGUGGCCAAUGCAGUGCUGCAGGGAAGCCGUUAAGUUUGCCGCCUGGGAAGUACGUACGCAAGUAUGAAACUUAAAGGAAUUGGCGGGGGAGCACCACAAGGGGUGAAGCCUGCGGUUCAAUUGGAGUCAACGCCAGAAAUCUUACCCGGAGAGACAGCAGAAUGAAGGUCAAGCUGAAGACUUUACCAGACAAGCUGAG
rnacentral:rRNA from 1 species